rnacentral:rRNA from 1 species
GACGAACGCUGGCGGCGUGCUUAACACAUGCAAGUCGAGCGGUAAGGCCCUUCGGGGUACACGAGCGGCGAACGGGUGAGUAACACGUGGGUGACCUACCCUCAGCUUCGGGAUAAGCCUGGGAAACCGGGUCUAAUACCGGAUAUGACCAUGGGAUGCAUGUUCUGUGGUGGAAAGUUUUUCGGCUGGGGAUGGGCCCGCGGCCUAUCAGCUUGUUGGUGGGGAGAUGGCCUACCAAGGCGGUGACGGGUAGCCGGCCUGAGAGGGCGACCGGCCACACUGGGACUGAGACACGGCCCAGACUCCUACGGGAGGCAGCAGUGGGGAAUAUUGCGCAAUGGGCGGAAGCCUGACGCAGCGACGCCGCGUGGGGGAUGACGGCCUUCGGGUUGUAAACCUCUUUCGCCAGGGACGAAGCUUUGGUGACGGUACCUGGAGAAGAAGCACCGGCCAACUACGUGCCAGCAGCCGCCGUAAUAC